rnacentral:rRNA from 1 species
UGUAAGUCAUAUGCUUGUCUCAAAGAUUAAGCCAUGCAAGUCUAAGUUUAAGCACCUAAACGGCGAAACUGCGAAUGGCUCAUUAAAUCAGUUAUCGUAUAUUUGAUAGUACCUACUACAUGGAUAACCGUGGUAAUUCUAGAGCUAAUACAUGCUUAAAAUCCCGACUUCGGAAGGGAUGUAUUUAUUAGAUUAAAAACCAAUGCCCUUCGGGGCUCACUGGUGAUUCAUAAUAACUUCUCGAAUCGCAUGGCCUUGUGCCGGCGAUGGUUCAUUCAAAUUUCUGCCCUAUCAACUUUCGACGGCUGGGUCUUGGCCAGCCGUGGUUACAACGGGUAACGGAGGGUUAGGGCUUGACCCCGGAGAAGGAGCCUGAGAAACGGCUACUACAUCCAAGGAAGGCAGCAGGCGCGCAAAUUACCCAAUCCCGAUACGGGGAGGUAGUGACAAUAAAUACUGAUACAGGGCUCUUUUGGGUCUUGUAAUUGGAAUGAGUACAAUUUAAAUCCCUUAACGAGGAACAANUGGAGNNNNNNNNNNNNNNNNNNNGAGCGGUNAUUNCAGCUCCAAUAGCCGUAUAUUAAAGUUGUUGCAGUUAAAAAGCUCGUAGUUGAACCUUGGGCCUGGCUGGCCGGUCUGCCUCACCGCAUGCACUGGUCCGGCCGGGCCUUUCCCUCUGGGGAGCCGCAUGCCCUUCACUGGGUGUGUCGGGGAACCAGGACUUUUACUGUGAAAAAAUUAGAGUGUUCAAAGCAGGCCUAUGCUCGAAUACAUUAGCAUGGAAUAAUAGAAUAGGACGUUGCGGUUCUAUUUUGUUGGUUUCUAGGACCGCCGUAAUGAUUAAUAGGGACAGUCGGGGGCAUCAGUAUUCAAUCGUCAGAGGUGAAAUUCUUGGAUCGAUUGAAGACUAACUACUGCGAAAGCAUUUGCCAAGGAUGUUUUCAUUAAUCAGGAACGAAAGUUAGGGGAUCGAAAACGAUCAGAUACCGUUGUAGUCUUAACCAUAAACUAUGCCGACUAGGGAUCGGGCGAUGUUUUUCUUUGACUCGCUCGGCACCUUACACGAAAGUAAAGUUUUUGGGUUCU